AGAUGGUUCAACUGAUGGAACAUUAUCCAACCACAAUAAAAAGAUUUGGAUUGCGCAAGUUUUGCAGUGCUGCCUUUUACCUGAUGGUGAAACUUAGUUCCGGCCAUAAAUCCGAGGGAGACACAAGAACGGUCAAGAGGUCAGGUUCUGGCGGGGAACAAGCAUGACAUAAAGCCUGUGCUUGAUGCCGUCAUCAUUUCUGCCUGCAAAGGUUAUGUCUGGAUGUGGUGCAAAGACCACAGCAAAACAGUGCCAGAUGACACCUCCUUCAACAAGGCAGUGACACUCCAAAUAGACUACUCCAGGAAAUAAAUGAAAUCAUCUUGUUUAAAUUGAGACUAAAAAUAGGGGGUGUUAGAUUGUUUAAUUUUUACCCUGUCAUAAUGUGAUCAAUUCAACAACAACAAAAAUAUUGGUACUGUCAGUAUAUUUCAUUGUGUACAUUUUAUUGUUUACAUUUUAUAAUCUCAUAAAAAAAAUGUUAUUUAUUGAUGGUCUGUUUAUUUUGCUUUUUCUUCCAGCAUACAUUUUUUGUACAGAAAAUUUUCUGUACAGAAUUUAAUAUUAAACAGAUUUUAUUCUGCACAGAAUUCUAUUCUCACAUUUUGGUUCUCCCCAGAUUUAAUUCUGCCAGAUUUUUUUCUGCCUCGAACAAAUUCUGCUUAAUUUAAAUAAUUCGUAAAAUCUGUACAGAAUUCGUUCUUUGUUUAUAUUGAAAAAAUCUAUAAAUAGAAAUCUGGUUCAACUCAUUUAAAAUGGACACCAAAUAUUUUCUGCACAUAUUCUACACAGAUUUUGUGUAUUUUAUUCUGCACAUAAUCUGGUUGCAGUC